AUAAUACACUGUAAAAAAUUUCUGUAAAUUUACAGCGUAUUAACAGCGUAAAUAUACAGUACUGAACUGUUUUCUAAAAUUACGGUGUCUUACCGUAAAUGCACACGUGAUCGGUGGGAGAGGGGGAACCAAAGGGUAGCUGACUCAUGGAGGAGCAUGGUUUCAGUCAAAGUUUUAUGGAUUUCAUCUCAAGUUGAAGCUCAUUCACAGUAACAUGAAGACGGACUGGUUUCGCAUGCAGAUGUUGCAGCAUCUGCAUCUGAUAUUGAGAAGACACUCAAUCUACCUGCCAAUCCUCAUCUGAUUUUGCUGGGUUAGUGUGUCAUUACACAUGAUGAAGAGACAUUUACUGAUGUUUAAGAUAUAAAAUUGUAACAUUGCUGUUGUGCACGAUUGUUAAAAUUGCUUUUUUUUUUCUUUUUUUUUUUGUGAGUGUCCAGUCAACACUUUUGACUGCAGUUACAACAGUGUUUGCUGUGUACUACCUCUUCAACCUGCAGUAUCAAGAAGCGGCUUGUUGCACGUAAGAAAGGUAAGUUUUUUUCAGUAUAUCAUCAUCUGAAACACUGUCAAAUGUGGUUUUAUUCGCAUGCCAGGCACGGAGAAAAUAGGAG